GUUUAGCCCUGAUUGCAGCGGCAUCCUUUUUUGAAGGAUGAAAAAAAGAUACAGCGCAAAGCAGGAAUUAGC
rfam:Tenacibaculum dicentrarchi strain AY7486TD, complete genome.